rnacentral:rRNA from 1 species
UACGUAGGGGGCGAGCGUUGUCCGGAUUUAUUGGGCGUAAAGAGCUCGUAGGCGGUUCGAUAAGUCGGAUGUGAAAUCUCCACGCUCAACGUGGAGGGGCCAUUCGAUACUGCCGUGACUCGAGUCCGGUAGGGGAGUGUGGAAUUCCCGGUGUAGCGGUGAAAUGCGCAGAGAUCGGGAGGAACACCCGUAGCGAAGGCGGCUCUCUGGGCCUUACCUGACACUGAGGAGCGAAAGCGUGGGGAGCGAACGAGG